rnacentral:snRNA from 1 species
UUUCACUUAUUUAUUUUCUUU